UAGGGAAUAUUGGACAAUGGGGGCAACCCUGAUCCAGCCAUGCCGCGUGAGUGAAGAAGGCCCUCGGGUUGUAAAGCUCUUUUGUCCGGAAAGAAAAGCAUUCGGUGAAUACCCGGAUGUUCUGACGGUACCGGAAGAAUAAGCACCGGCUAACUUCGUGCCAGCAGCCGCGGUAAUACGAAGGGUGCAAGCGUUACUCGGAAUUACUGGGCGUAAAGCGUGCGUAGGUGGUUGUUUAAGUCUGAUGUGAAAGCCCUGGGCUCGACCUGGGAAUGGCAUUGGAAACUGGGCAGCUAGAGUGCGGUAGAGGGUAGUGGAAUUCCCGGUGUAGCAGUGAAAUGCGUAGAGAGCGGGAGGAACAUCUGUGGCGAAGGCGACUGCCUGGACCAGCACUGACACUGAGGCACGAAAGCGUGGGGAGCAAACA
rnacentral:rRNA from 1 species